AUGUACACUGCGGGUCCCACUGUGAAGCCCUCUGUGUCUCUGCUCCAUCCAUCGUCUCUGCAGCUCUUUGAGGGACCGGCCUCGCUGCUCUGCCUGCUGUUUGCCUACUCUCCACAGGGGGUGAUGGUGAGCUGGACAGUGGAUGGCUCAGUGGUGAACGAAGGGGUUCUAACCAGCCCUGAAGAACAGAAGAAGGACGGUUACACACGCAGCAGCACCCUGACCCUCAGCAAAGCGCUCUUGGAAAAGGGGGAGGAAUUUGUCUCUACCGUCUCCCAUGACAGUGUCAAUCAUCUGAUCAAGUUCAGAAAGAGCCAGUGUGAAGACUAA